AAAUUACUCUCAGCCGGAGGCAUCUUUUCCAUUGUGGCAGUCAAAUCCAAUUGCCUACAAGCAUCAGAGGGUAGUGCAGCUGCAGCUCUUGAAUGCAGUCUCAUAGAUUACACCAAUUGCACAUAGCUACAUACAUCAAAAUAAGCACUGCGCGUGAAUUAUUUGGAAGUGCGAGUGGAAAAUGUGAAAGCCAUAAAGAGAAAACAUACCCUUUCAAGAUCAGAAGCUUCAAAAGCCGGAAGAUUUAAUUCCUCCAUUGCAACAAGAAAGUUGCGUAAAUUUACAAAAUACUGAUAGGCGGGCAAUGGCUGAGAAUCCCAGGUUGGCUCGGUAGACCAAGAGGACCCACUUGGCUUUCUAGCCAUUGAGUUGCCUUAUAGCGUCUGCAAGCUGCAUAAGUCAUUGUAACAUUCCUUCAGACAAUUCAAUAGCAAAGGAA